UACGUAUGGUGCAAGCGUUAUCCGGAUUUACUGGGUGUAAAGGGAGCGCAGGCGGUGCGGCAAGUCUGAUGUGAAAGCCCGGGGCUCAGCCCCGGUACUGCAUUGGAAACUGUCGUACUAGAGUGUCGGAGGGGUAAGCGGAAUUCCUAGUGUAGCGGUGAAAUGCGUAGAUAUUAGGAGGAACACCAGUGGCGAAGGCGGCUUACUGGACGAUAACUGACGCUGAGGCUCGAAAGCGUGGGGAGCAAACAGG
rnacentral:rRNA from 1 species